AUUGAACGCUGGCGGCAUGCUUUACACAUGCAAGUCGAACGGUAACAGGCCGCGAGGUGCUGACGAGUGGCGAACGGGUGAGUAAUGCAUCGGAACGUGCCCAGUCGUGGGGGAUAACUACUCGAAAGAGUAGCUAAUACCGCAUACGAUCUAUGGAUGACAGCGGGGGACCGUAAGGCCUCGCGCGAUUGGAGCGGCCGAUGUCAGAUUAGGUAGUUGGUGGGGUAAAGGCUCACCAAGCCAACGAUCUGUAGCUGGUCUGAGAGGACGACCAGCCACACUGGGACUGAGACACGGCCCAGACUCCUACGGGAGGCAGCAGUGGGGAAUUUUGGACAAUGGGCGCAAGCCUGAUCCAGCAAUGCCGCGUGCAGGAAGAAGGCCUUCGGGUUGUAAACUGCUUUUGUACGGAACGAAACGGCUCUGGUUAAUACCCGGGGCUAAUGACGGUACCGUAAGAAUAAGCACCGGCUAACUACGUG
rnacentral:rRNA from 1 species